rnacentral:rRNA from 1 species
GCUGAACGCUAGCUACAGGCUUAACACAUGCAAUUCGAGGGACCGGCACACGGGUGAGUAACACGUGUCCAACCUGCCCUUUACUCGGGGAUAGCCUUUCGAACGAAAGUUUAAUACCCGAUAUACCGGCUGGGGAUGCGGUCCAUUAGGUUGUUGGUGAGUUAACGGCUCACCAAGCCUUCGAUGGAUAGGGGUUCUGAGAGGAAGGUCCCCCACAUUGUAACGGAGACACGAUCCCAACUCCGACGGGCGGCAGCAGAGAUGAAUAUUGGUCAAUGGUCGCUAGCCUGAAACAGCCAAUUAGCGUGAAGGAUGAAGGCUUAUGGGUCGUAAACUUCUUUUAUAUAAGAAUGUGUAUGAUAUGAAUAAGGAUCGGCUAACACCGUGCCAGCAGCCGCGAUAAAUC